rnacentral:rRNA from 1 species
GUAUCCUACGGGAGGCAGCAGUAGGGAAUCUUCCACAAUGGACGAAAGUCUGAUGGAGCAACGCCGCGUGAGUGAAGAAGGGUUUCGGCUCGUAAAGCUCUGUUGGUAGUGAAGAAAGAUAGAGGUAGUAACUGGCCUUUAUUUUAUGGUAAUUACUUAGAAAGUCACCGCUAACUACGUGCCAGCAGCCGCGGUAAUACGUAGGCGGCAAGCGUUGUUCGGAUUUAUUGGGCGUAAAGCGAGUGCAGGCGG